rnacentral:rRNA from 1 species
UACGGAGGGUGCAAGCGUUAAUCGGAAUUACUGGGCGUAAAGCGCACGUAGGUGGUUUGUUAAGCCAGCUGUGAAAUCCCCGGGCUCAACCUGGGCACUGCAGUUGGAACUGGCAAGCUAGAGUAGGGUAGAGGGGUGUGGAAUUCCAGGUGUAGCGGUGAAAUGCGUAGAUAUCUGGAGGAACAUCAGUGGCGAAGGCGUCACCCUGGACUCAUACUGACACUGAGGUGCGAAAGCGUGGGGAGCAAACAGG